rnacentral:rRNA from 1 species
UACGUAGGGACCAAGCGUUGUUCGGAUUUACUGGGCGUAAAGGGCGCGUAGGCGGCUUGACAAGUCACUUGUGAAAUCUCCGGGCUUAACUCGGAACGGCCAAGUGAAACUGUCAUGCUAGAGUGCAGAAGGGGCAAUCGGAAUUCUUGGUGUAGCGGUGAAAUGCGUAGAUAUCCGCAGGAACAUCCGAGGCGAAAGCGGCUCGCUGGAUCGCAACUGACGCUGAGGGACGAAAGCUAGGGGAGCAAACAGG